rnacentral:rRNA from 1 species
CAGCCGUAAACUAUGCGCGUUAGGUGUACUGGUGACCACGAGUCACCGGGGUGCCGAAGGGAAACCGUGAAACGUGCCGCCUGGGAAGUACGGUCGCAAGGCUGAAACUUAAAGGAAUUGGCGGGGGGAGCACCACAACAGGUGGAGCCUGCGGUUUAAUUGGACUCAACGCCGGGAAGCUCACCGGAUAGGACAGCAGAAUGAUUGCCGGGCUGAAGACCCUGCAUGACUAGCUGAGAGGUGGUGCAUGGCGUCAGUGACU